rnacentral:rRNA from 1 species
GACGAACGCUGGCGGCGUGCUUAACACAUGCAAGUCGGACGGUGAAGCACCUUCCUUUUGGUGGGUGUGGAUGAGUGGCGAACGGAUGAGUAACACGUGAGUAACCUGCCCCCUUCUUCUGGAUAACCGCAUGAAAGUGUGGCUAAUACGGGAUAUUCUGUGCCUGCUGCAUGGUGGGUGUGGGAAAGAUGCGCCUUUGGGUGUUUUUGGUGGGGGAUGGGCUCGCGGCCUAUCAGCUUGUUGGUGGGGUGAUGGCCUACCAAGGCGGUGACGGGUAGCCGGCCUGAGAGGGUGGACGGUCACACUGGGACUGAGACACGGCCCAGACUCCUACGGGAGGCAGCAGUGGGGAAUAUUGCACAAUGGGCGCAAGCCUGAUGCAGCGACGCCGCGUGAGGGAUGGAGGCCUUCGGGUUGUAAACCUCUUUCGCCAGUGAAGCAGGCCUGCUCCUUGUGGGUGGGUUGACGGUAGCUGGAUAAGAAGCGCCGGCUAACUACGUGCCAGCAGCCGCGGUAAUACGUAGGGCGCGAGCGUUGUCCGGAAAUAUUGGGCGUAAAGAGCUCGAAGCGGCUGGUCGCGUCUGUCGUGAAACCCUCUGGCUUAACUGGGGGCUUGCGUGGGUACUGGCCGGCUUGAGUGGGGGUGGGGAGACUUGUAAUUCCUUUGUGCGCUGGAACCACACAUAUAAGAAGAACAACCCAGCCUAUGUGAGUUUUGGGCCCUGACC